ACUCCUACGGGAGGCAGCAGUGGGGAAUAUUGGACAAUGGACGAAAGUCUGAUCCAGCAACGCCGCGUGAGCGAUGAAGGCCUUCGGGUCGUAAAGCUCUGUCAGAUGGAACGAAAGAAAUCAACCUAACACGUUGGUUGUUGACGGUACCAUCAAAGGAAGCACCGGCUAACUCUGUGCCAGCAGCCGCGGUAAU
rnacentral:rRNA from 1 species